ensembl:lncRNA
GGAUCUGUUCAUUUCUCAAUGAGGGAUCUGUUCAUUUCUCAGUGAGGGAUCUGUUCAUUUCUGUGAGGGAUCUGUUCAUUUCUGUGAGGGGAUCUGUUCAUUUCUCAGUGAGGGGAUCUGUUCAUUUCUCAGUGAGGGAUCUGUUCAUUUCUGUGAGGGCUCUGUUCAUUUCUCAGUGAGGGCUCUGUUCAUUUCUNGAUAAUCCCUGCCCUGGAGGGAGAUGGAAUCAUCCCCCAGGUGAGACAGGGACCAAACCCGGGAUAAUCCCUGAUCUAGAGCAGGCUGGAAUCAUCCCCCAGGUGAGACAGGGACCAAACCCGGGGUAAUCCAUGCCCUGGAGGGAGAUGGAAUCGUCCCCCAGGUGAGACAGGGACCAAACCCAGGGUAAUUCCUGCCCUGGAAAGAGAUGGAAUCAUCCCCCAGGUGAGACAAGGACCAAAUCUGGGAUAAUUCCUGAUCUGGAUGGUGCUGGAAUCAUCCCCCAGGUGAGACAGGGACCAAACCUGGGAUAAUUCCUGCCCUGGAGGGAGAUGGAAUCGUCCCCCAGGUGAGACAGGGACCAAACCCGGGGUAAUCCCUGAUCUAGAGCAGGCUGGCAGCUCGGGGAGAGCAGGAGAUGGGGAGGAGUUUCCUCAGCUUUGUGAUGUUUGUACCCGAGGGGAUCCAGCAGGAAAUGUCCUGGGAAAAACAGAGGGGUGGGAGAGCAGGAAUGACAUGGGAAGGAGCAGGAAUCGUGGAAAAGAGCAGGAAUUGUGGAAAGAGCAGGAAUGAUGUGGAAAAGAGCAGGAAUGACAUGGGAAGGAGCAGGAAUGAUGUGGAAAGGAGCAGGAAUCGUGGAAAGAGCAGGAAUUAUAUGGAAAAGAGCAGGAAUGGUGCGAAAAAGAGCGGGAAUGAUGUGGAAAAGAACAGGAAUAAGGUGGAAGGAGCAGGAAUGAUGUGGAAAAGAGCAGGAAUUAUAUGGAAAAGAGAAGGAAUGACAUGGAAAAGAGCAGGAAUGACAUGGGAAGGAGCAGGAAUUAUAUGGAAAAGAGCAGGAAUGAUGUGGAAAAGAGCAGGAAUUGUGGAAAAGAGAAGGAAUGAUGUGGAAAAGAGCAGGAAUCGUGGAAAGAGCAGGAAUGAUGCGGAAAGGAGCAGGAGUGACAUGGAAAAGAGCAGGAAUGAUGCGGAAAGGAGCAGGAAUGACAUGGGAAGAAGCAGGAAUGAUGUGGGAAAGAGCAGGACUCACACCCCAGGUCAGGCUGGGAGAUGGGCACCGACCCUCAGGGCCAAGUUUUCAUUUAAUGAUUGCUCCAGCACGGACUUUAGAACUUCCCUUGUGAGGAAUCCGUUCUGUGCUUAACUUACAAAGGCAGAAACAAGCACAAAGCCGAGGCUAGCCAAAGGGGAAUUGAAUUUUUGGGGUUUUUGUGGCUCUGAUGGUGCAGUGGUGAGAAGGAACCCCUCCAGGAGAUGCUGCAGGGUGUGAGCUCGCUGCCUACAGGCAAUUAAUUAAUCUUUAAUUGUGCUUUUGCACUGGGCAAGGGAACAGGAAUUUCCUCUGCAGUGACACAGAGGCCUCCAAGCCCCCGUGGUGGCUCCCAGGGCUUCCUGUGGCAGCACCCAGCAGGAAAAUCCCUUUGUUCCCUUUCUGCUUCCCCAGGGCAUCCUGAGCAGGUCUGGAGAUCAACCUGGGGCUGCCAGCACUGUCUGUGCCUCAGUUUCCCUUCCAGGAUCCUUGAGGGCUCUGCUCCUUUGGGGAAGGAGAAAUUGUCCCAAAGGUGUCAGGUCCAGGCUGUGCCCAAGGCAGCGUUUGGGCCCUCACAAAGCACCACGGGCACGGGCUGAAGGGUCAGGGCUCAGCCAGGAGGAGUUUUCCUGAGAAUUCCUCUCAGCAGGAAUGGGGACGAGGCAAAUCCAGAGCUGGUCCAGGAUCCUCCUGUCAG